rnacentral:lncRNA from 10 species
UGUAAUCCCAGCACUUUGGGAGGCCGAGGCGGGCGGAUCACGAAGUCAGGAGAUGGAGACCAUCCUGGCUGACACGGAGGAAGACAGGAAGAUGAGAGAGAUUUGAAGAUGGUAUGUGGCUGAAUUUGAAGAUAGAGAAAGGAACCGCAAGCAAAGAAUGCAAGAGGUCUCUAGAAGCUGGAAAAGGCAAGGAAAGAGUCUCCCCUCAAGCUCCAGCAGGAAUGCAGUCCUGACACCUUGAGUUUAGCCUAGUGAGACUUCUGACCUCCAGAACUAGAAGAUACAAGUGGUGUUUUAAGGCACUAAAACGAAGAACUAGAAGUAUUGUUUUAAGCCCAUAAAUUUGUGAUAAUCUGUUACAGUAGUAAUAGGCAAUGCAUACACAAGCACACAAAGUAAAAUUUUUCUGUGGUUAUUUUCCAUAUUUUUUCAGUUAUUUUCUGCCUUUUGAAGACAUUAAAGACAUAAAAUGAAUAUGUAUUAGUUUAGGAAUAAAAUUUAAAAUGUAGGAAUGCUAUAAAAGAAGAAAAAAUUUUAACUGGGCUAAAGCAAACCCAGUAUGUCAUCCUAUUACAUCAGCUUCUUCAUCUUUGGAUGAAGAGGUUGGUGACUGUUUCUUCUAAUGUGAGAAUAGCUCCAAAUUGCUAAAUUGUUCAGAAUUUGACAAGAUGAAAGAGGAAA